UACGGAGGGGGCUAGCGUUGUUCGGAAUUACUGGGCGUAAAGCGCACGUAGGCGGGUCGCUAAGUCGGGGGUGAAAUCCUGGGGCUCAACCUCAGAACUGCCUUCGAUACUGGCGACCUUGAGUACGGGAGAGGUGAGUGGAAUUCCCAGUGUAGAGGUGAAAUUCGUAGAUAUUGGGAAGAACACCAGUGGCGAAGGCGGCUCACUGGCCCGUAACUGACGCUGAGGUGCGAAAGCGUGGGGAGCACACAGG
rnacentral:rRNA from 1 species